GGAUAUAGCUCAAUUGGUAGAGUGCUUGCCUCCCAUGCACAAGGCCCUGGGUUCAAUCCUCAGUCCG
rnacentral:tRNA from 1 species